GAACAAAACUCGCCGCUUUCGCCCGCGGUGCGCAGACGUACUGGCCAAUCCCCACCCGAGCUACCGCGACACGUGGUACACAGCUCGACCAAUCACAGCCUGGUUACGCGGCCUCCCCCGGACGUGUUCGUAAAGCCGGCUUGUGCUACCGAUCAGUUUCUUCUCUUCUUCUCCUGUACCGAUUUAACGUUUCGACGUUGCAAACAAACACGAAAGGCUCUUUCCUUUUUAUCGAUAUUCUACUUGAAUUACUUUCGUUUCUUUCUGUCGCGGGACCGACCGGCUCGAUGCUGCGUCACCAAGGAAAUCGGUUUCUCAAUACAUAUUUAUCGAUUAUUGAAUGGACAAAUAAUACAUUGUUAUAAACAAUAAAUUGAAUUGUGUUAUUGUGUCAACUUUAUUACCAAGCUAGACAGUUGUAGUUGCCACUAAUAAUAAACAUGUACACAAUAUUUCAUCAAUGACAACAAGGAAGUAAAGAUACUUAUAAAACUCUUCAUGAUUAGACAUCUCCAUUGGAUUUAUCUGAAAUUGACAACCAAAGAGACGCGCAAAAACUACAUUUCCGUUAGCGUUUCUCAAUGUCUUUGAAGUUUGCAUACACGACUCAAUGGACCUGUGAGCAAUUGGAAGAUAACUACGAACGCUGUCUUAUACACGACCUACAAUAUUGACUUAAUUGAUACGUCUGAUGAUCUGUACUGGGAAUACAAUCAAAUGAAAGACGCACACCCGUUACCACAAAUUUUGCACUUAUUUCAAUAGUAUAACAGCAGGAAUGGCACUGGUGUUGUGGGGCCUGAAGCAAAAAUCAUUACUCUCUCGUUAUAUCGCCACGCAUUGCAUAAAUCUAAAACCUCAACAAUUUUUAAAUUUGAGAAAUUGAUAAAUAUUGUCAUCGAAUGCAACGAUAUGGAACGAUGACGCACUACCCACCUACGAACGUUUAUAAUGUUCCAUGCAAUCGUUCCAUAUCGCAACGUUUCGUUUCAUCGGAUUUGUAACAAUUAACGGCUUUCACGGUUGAAGGGCUACAAGUACUUGAUCCACUUGGGGAAACCAAGGACGAGAAACUUGCGAUUUAUAGACGAGAUAAUUAUCAUUGGAUAAUAAAUUAUUACUAUAUUAUAAUACCAUUUAUAACAAACUCUAUGAAUAAAUAACUUCUUA